GACGAACCGUCCAAACGUUAUUCGGAAUUACUGGGCUUAAAGGGUUCGUAGGCGGCCUUGUAAGUGAGAUGUGAAAUCCCACGGCUCAACCGUGGAAGUGCAUUUCAUACUGCAAGGCUUGAGGGAGACAGAGGUAAGCGGAACUGAUGGUGGAGCGGUGAAAUGCGUUGAUAUCAUCAGGAACACCGGUGGCGAAAGCGGCUUACUGGGUCUCUUCUGACGCUGAGGAACGAAAGCCAGGGGAGCGAACGGG
rnacentral:rRNA from 1 species